rnacentral:lncRNA from 1 species
GUCUGGGUCACUGCAGCAUGCGGUGUGUUGUGUCUGAGCACAUCGGGGACUUUUUAAUUAGAAAUAUAGAGAAAAAAGCAAUUCUGGGCUACAAAAACCAAGCCCAAACCCAUCUCUGGUCAUUCUGUUUCAUCCAUAAGGAUCCAGCCAUUGCAGAAGGGAUGCUUGGAUCAUGAUAAAAUAAAGAACUGCAGCUCUCUUCCCAUUUCAAGGGGACUGCUGAACCUCUGAAAGUAUCUGGGUGCGUUCGGCGUCAUGUUCACACUUUGCUGACCUUGCAGAAGCCUCGGAGGAGCUGCAGUUUCGAAGCUAGUUCUGCAAAAUAAGAGGUUCCCCAGUGAAAGAACAUUCAGACUUAUACCAGGCACAACAUUAGCUGCAUGCUCUUAGGAUGGAAGCAUGCAGAGCAAACAAUGAAUCAAGGCUGUUUAUAAAGCCUUCAACACAUUAAGCAGUGGAGAAGAGCCCAAGUUUCCACGUAAAGGCCUGAAUGGACAAGAAUGACGUGAAACACAUGGAAAAUAUGGAAAAUGUGGAAUAAGUAAUAAAAUUAUAAAUAAAACAAAUACAAUAAAUUGGGAAUGCA